rnacentral:rRNA from 1 species
AUUGAACGCUGGCGGAAGGCCUAACACAUGUAAGUCGAGCGGAGCGGCGGACGGGUGGGUAAUGCCUAGGAAUCUGCCUGGUAGUGGGGGAAAACGUACGGAAACGGGCGCUAAUACCGCAUAACAGCAGAUGAGUCUAGGUCGGAUUGGCUAGUUGGUGGGGUAAAGGCCUACCAAGGCGAAGAGCCUUAACUGGUCUGAGAUGAUGAUCAGUCACACUGGAACUUAGACACGGUCCAGACUCUUACGGGAGGCAGCAGUGGUGAAUAUUGGACAAUGGGCGAAAGCCUGAUCCAGCCAUGCCGCGUGUGUGAAGAAGGUCUUCGGAUUGUAAAGCACUGUAAGUUGGGAUGCGUUACCAACAGAAUAAGCACCGGCUAACUUCGUGCCAGCAGCCGCGGUAAUUC